AUGUCAGGAACAUAUACUCUGUGUCAGGAAUGACACAGAGAAGAUUAGCAUGGUCCCUGUGCAAGGAUGGCAUGCAAAGCUGAAAGGAGCCUGAUAUCUCU
rnacentral:snRNA from 1 species